GCCCGGCAAGGCGGAUGGAUUCAAGCUUCCGUUGAGAUUUGAUACAUGAUUUAUUCAUCCCGCCCACCACGAAACGCACCACGCCAGUUACCCAAGUCUCUAGUGACGGAGCACUCUGACAUUUGAUCCAAACGCUCCCUUAUUUGGGGAAAAAGGAAAUUGAACAGCAGCGCAGACUCGGGUUUGGAAGAGGAAUGGAGAUGUUGACACUCCCUCUUAUCGUGCUGUGCAAAUAAAGAGCUCUUCAAGUAGCUGUCUGUGUUCGGGAUGCGGCGGACUAAUGUUGACAGCGUGCAUUACGACUCAUCAAUUUGUACUUUAUGAUUGACAGGUAGUUCAAAAGUAGACAUAUGGGUUCUGGGGGGAGAGGGAGAGUAGCUCAGACAACAGAGUGCUGUUUGGAGUGCUGCAUCAAAUAGUUUGGGCAUUAAAUGCACAAUGAAACUCAAA